rnacentral:rRNA from 1 species
AACGAACGCUGGCGGCAUGCCUAACACAUGCAAGUCGAACGGGACCUUCGGGUCUAGUGGCGCACGGGUGCGUAACGCGUGGGAACCUGCCCUUAGGUUCGGAAUAACUCCCCGAAAGGGGUGCUAAUACCGGAUAAUGUCUUCGGACCAAAGAUUUAUCGCCUUUGGAUGGGCCCGCGUUGGAUUAGCUAGUUGGUAGGGUAAAAGCCUACCAAGGCGACGAUCCAUAGCUGGUCUGAGAGGAUGAUCAGCCACACUGGGACUGAGACACGGCCCAGACUCCUACGGGAAGCAGCAGUGGGGAAUAUUGGACAAUGGGCGAAAGCCUGAUCCAGCAAUGCCGCGUGAGUGAUGAAGGCCUUAGGGUUGUAAAGCUCUUUUACCCGGGAUGAUAAUGACAGUUCCGGGAGAAUAAGCUCCGGCUAACUCCGUG